GAUGAAGAACGUAGCGAAAUGCGAUACGUAAUGUGAAUUGCAGAAUUCAGUGAAUCAUCGAGUCUUUGAACGCACAUUGCGCCCUCUGGUAUUCCGGAGGGCAUGCCUGUCCGAGCGUCAUUGCUGCCCUCAAGCACGGCUUGUGUGUUGGGCCCCGCCCCCCGAUCCCGGGGGGCGGGCCCGAAAGGCAGCGGCAGCACCGCGUCCGGUCCUCGAGCGUAUGGGGCUUUGUCACCCGCUCUGUAGGCCCGGCCGGCGCUUGCCGAUCAACCAAACUUUUUUCCAGGUUGACCUCGGAUCAGGUAGGGAUACCCGCUGAACUUAAGCAUAUCAAUAAGCGGAGGA
rnacentral:misc_RNA from 1 species